ACAGUGGCGAACGGGUGAGGAACACGUAAGAAUCUGCCCCUCGGUCGGGGACAACUCUUGGAAACGAGAGCUAAUACCCGAUACGCUGUGGAGUGAAAGAAUUUCGCCGAGGGAUGAUCUUGCGUCUGAUUAGCUAGUUGGUGUGGUAAUGGCACACCAAGGCGACGAUCAGUAGCUGGUCUGAGAGGAUGGACAGCCACAUUGGAACUGAGACACGGUCCAAACUCCUACGGGAGGCAGCAGUGGGGAAUUUUCCGCAAUGGACGCAAGUCUGACGGAGCGACGCUGCGUGAAGGAUGACGGCCCGCGGGUUGUAAACUUCUUUUCUCGAAGAAGAAACAAAUGACGGUAUUCGAGGAAUAACCAUCGGCU
rnacentral:rRNA from 1 species